rnacentral:Y_RNA from 1 species
GGCUGGUCCGAUACUAGUGGGUUAUCAGAACUUAUUAACAUUAGUGUACCUAAAAUUGGUAUACAACCCCCUACUGCUAAAUUUGACUGACUUUAA